rnacentral:rRNA from 1 species
UCUGACCUCAAAUCAGGUAGGACUACCCGCUGAACUUAAGCAUAUCAAUAAGCGGAGGAAAAGAAACUAACAAGGAUUCCCCUAGUAACUGCGAGUGAAGCGGGAAAAGCUCAAAUUUGAAAUCUGGCAGUCUUUUUUUUCUUCUUUGGCUGUCCGAGUUGUAAUCUAGAGAAGUGCUUACCUGCGCUGGAC